rnacentral:rRNA from 1 species
CCUACGGGAGGCAGCAGUGGGGAAUAUUGCACAAUGGGGGAAACCCUGAUGCAGCGACGCCGCGUGUGUGAAGAAGUACUUCGGUAUGUAAAGCUCCAUCAGCAGGGAAGAAAAUGACGGUACCCGAUUAAGAAGCCCCGGCUAACUACGUGCCAGCAGCCGCCGGAAUACGGAGGGGGCAAGCGUUAUUCGGAUUUACUGGGGGUAAAGGGAGCGUUGACGGCAGCACAAGUCUGGAGGGAAAUGCCGGGGCUUAACCCCGGAACUGCAUUGGAAACUGUGGAGCUAGAGUGCAGUAGAGGUAAGUGGAAUUCCUAGUGUAGCGGUGAAAUGCGUAGAUAUUAGGAGGAACACCAGUGGCGAAGGCGGCUUACUGUGCUGUAACUGACGUUGAGGCUCGAAAGCGUGGGGAGCAAACAGGAUUAGAUACCCGUGUAGUC